GGACAACCUGCCCUGAGGACUGGAAUAAUCCCGGGAAACUGGGGGUAAUUCCAGAUAUGUCAGAACUCCUGGAAUGGGUUCUGGCAGAAAGGCUCCGGCGCCUCAGGAUGGGUCUGCGGCCUAUCAGGGUAGUAGUGGGUGUAACGUACCUACUAGCCUACGACGGGUACGGGUUGUGAGAGCAAGAGCCCGGAGAUGGAUUCUGAGACAUGAAUCCAGGCCCUACGGGGUGCAGCAGGCGCGAAAACUUUACAAUGCGGGCAACCGCGAUAAGGGGACCUCGAGUGCUGGGUUACAAACCUGGCUGUUGGGCUGCCUAAAAAGCAGUCUAUAGCAAGGGCCGGGCAAGACCGGUGCCAGCCGCCGCGGUAACACCGGCGGCUCGAGUGGUAACCGCUAUUAUUGGGUCUAAAGGGUCUGUAGCCGGCCGACUAAGUCUCUUGGGAAAUCUGGCAUCUCAAGUGUCAGGCUGCCAGGGGAUACUGGUCGGCUUGGGACCGGGAGAGGUGAGAGGUACCUCGGGGGUAGGGGUGAAAUCUUGUAAUCCUCGAGGGACCACCAGUGGCGAAGGCGUCUCACCAGAACGGAUCCGACGGCAAGGGACGAAAGCUAGGGGCACGAACCGGAUUAGAUACCCGGGUAGUCCUAGCCGUAAACGAUACUCGCUAGGUGUCGGCCACGGUGCGACCGUGGUCGGUGCCGUAGGGAAGCCGUGAAGCGAGCCACCUGGGAAGUACGGCCGCAAGGCUGAAACU
rnacentral:rRNA from 1 species